AGACUGCCGGUGACAAACCGGAGGAAGGUGGGGAUGACGUCAAGUCAUCAUGGCCCUUAUGACCUGGGCUACACACGUGCUACAAUGGCCGGUACAAAGGGCUGCAAACUUGCGAGAGGGAGCCAAUCCCAUAAAGCCGGUCGUAGUCCGGAUUGGAGUCUGCAACUCGACUCCAUGAAGUCGGAAUCGCUAGUAAUCGUGAAUCAGAAUGUCCACGGUGAAUACGU
rnacentral:rRNA from 1 species